rnacentral:lncRNA from 1 species
CUUUCUGACUUGCUUAUAAAGAUUAUAGCUUCAUUUUAUCAUAAAUAAUAUCCUAUUAGUGAUAACAUUAUUUGUGAGGCACUAUAUGUCGUCACAAAUAAUAUGCUUUUGACGACAAUUUUCGAAUGGUGCAUUAUGUAUCAUCAUAAAUAUUAUUUUUUAUAUGAUAGUAUCUUAUAUUUUCAUAAAUAACAUACUAAUCAUGACAACUUGUUAGUGACAU